UACAGAGGUCCCAAGCGUUGUUCGGAUUCACUGGGCGUAAAGGGUGCGCAGGUGGUCGGGUAAGUCUGAUGUGAAAUCCCGCAGCUUAACUGCGGAAUGGCAUUGGAUACUAUUCGGCUAGAGGGUUGGAGGGGGGACUGGAAUUCUCGGUGUAGCAGUGAAAUGCGUAGAUAUCGAGAGGAACACCAGUGGCGAAGGCGACACCCUGGACUCAUACUGACACUGAGGUGCGAAAGCGUGGGGAGCAAACAGG
rnacentral:rRNA from 1 species